AGCCUACACAUGCAGUCGAGCGGUAACAGGAAAGUGCCUGCACUUUUGCUGACGAGCGGCGGACGGGUGAGUAAUGUCUGGGGAUCUGCCCGAGGGCGGGGGAUACCCACUGGAAACGGUGGCUAAUACCGCAUAAUGUCGCGAGACCAAAGUGGGGGACCUGAAAGGGCCUCACACCGUCGGAUGAACCCAAAUGGGAUUAGCUGGUAGGUAAGGUAAUGGCCUACCUAGGCGACGAUCUCUAGCUGGUCUGAGAUGAUGACCACCCACACUGGGACUGAGACACGGCCCCUACUCCUACGGGAGGCGGCAGUGGUGAAUAUUGGACAAUGGGCGCGAGCCUGAUGCGCCCAUGCCGCGUGUAUGAACAAGGCCUUCGGGUUGUAUAGUACUUUCAGCGGGGAGGAAGGGUUUAGCCUGAAGAGGGAUGGACUUUGACGUUACCCGCAGAAAACGCACCGGUUAACUCCGUGCCACCAGCCGCGGUAAUACGGACGGUGCAAGCGUUAAUCGGAAUGACUGGGCGUAAAGCGCACGCAGGCGGUCAAUUAAGAUAGAUGUGAAAUCCCCGGGCUCAACCUGGGAAUGGCAUCUAAGACUGGUUGACUGGAGUCUCAUAAAGGGGGGUAGAAUUGCGUGUGUAUCGAUGAAAUGCAUAUAUAUGUGAAGGAAUACCGGUGGCGAAGGCGUCCCCCUGGACGAUGACUGACACUCACGAGCGAAAGCGUAGGGAGCAAACUGGAUUACAUACCCUGGUAAUCCACGCUGUAAUCGAUGUCGAUUUGGAGGUUGC
rnacentral:rRNA from 1 species